AUAUAUGUAUGCCCUUCUACUCUGGGCUUGGGGCUUGGGCAUCGUUCGCACCGAGGCUUUCUCUGAAAAAGUAUUGGCUUGUUCAAACAACUUCUUGGCAAAGACUACUGGAAGGAACAGUGAGGCUGUGCUUUUGCUCUGCGCUUGGGGCUUGGGCAUCAUUGGAACUGAGUCUGCUUCUCUGCAGAAGUGUUGACCUGUUCAAAGCUUCUUGCCAAAGAAUACAGGAAGGAGCAGUGAGGCUGCCUUUUGCUCUGGCCUUGGGGCUUGGGCAUCAUUGGCA